rnacentral:rRNA from 1 species
GAUCAUGGCUCAGGAUGAACGCUAGCUACAGGCUUAACACAUGCAAGUCGAGGGGCAGCAUGAAACUUAGCUUGCUAAGUUUGAUGGCGACCGGCGCACGGGUGAGUAACACGUAUCCAACCUACCGUUUACUACGGGAUAGCCUUCUGAAAAGGAGAUUAAUACCGUAUGGCAUUCUAAAGUUUCAUGACAUUAGAAUUAAAGGUUUACCGGUAAUCGAUGGGGAUGCGUUCCAUUAGAUAGUAGGCGGGGUAACGGCCCACCUAGUCAGCGAUGGAUAGGGGUUCUGAGAGGAAGGUCCCCCACAUUGGAACUGAGACACGGUCCAAACUCCUACGGGAGGCAGCAGUGAGGAAUAUUGGUCAAUGGGCGAGAGCCUGAACCAGCCAAAAGUAGCGUGAAGGAUGACUGCCCUAUGGGUUGUAAACUUCUUUUAUAAAGGAAUAAAGUGGUCCACGUGUGGAUUUUUGUAUGUACUUUAUGAAUAAGGAUCGGCUAACUCCGUGCCAGCCGCGGC